rnacentral:rRNA from 1 species
UACGUAGGGUGCAAGCAUUAUCCGGAUUUACUGGGCGUAAAGAGUCUGUAGGCGGAUUUAUAAGUGGCGGGUUAAAGCCCGGGGCUCAACUCCGGAAUCGCUCGUCAUACUGUUUUUCUGGAGGGGGUUCGAGGAGGUUGGAAUUCUCGGUGGAGGGGUGAAAUCCGUUGAUAUCGAGAGGAACUCCAAGGGCGAAGGCAGACCUCUAGGACCUUUCUGACGCUGAGAGACGAAAGCUAGGGUAG